GAAACCUGAAUCUGGACAUGGAUGCAACUAAGAAGAAUUAUUUUACAGCUCCAGCCCCACUCGGAAUCAAGCUCUGAUACCAACUUGUUAUGUAACAGUUUUUCAAUCACAGAAAAAUAGUAGAGAUAGAGAGAAAUUAGAGAGAGAAAAUAGAAGAGAGAAAAGAAGAAAUCUGCAUUGUUAUUGAUUCUGGAAUGCCCCAGUUACAAGUAUCUCCCUCCCUUUAUGCUAUUACCAACUGUAACAAGAAUGUAUGUUUCAACUAUGAGUCAUGGAAAGAGAACUUGAAACAAUGAAGGAAAAAGCGUCUUUAAGCUGAAAGCAGAGUUUGAUGAUUAGUUAUCGAAAUUGUUAAAGUUAUAAAUCAAGAACAAAAUGAGCAGCUUAAAUUAGAAAAGCAACU
rnacentral:misc_RNA from 1 species